rnacentral:SRP_RNA from 11 species
ACCGGGCUUGGUAACGCUUGCCUGUAACUCAAGUGAGGGUAUUAAAGAUUGUUGUACAGUGACUCAACCCGGUCAGAUUGGUCCCACUGCUGCAUAUUCUGGCUUGCCCGUUCCAAGUUGUGAGUUGGACCAUGCGGCUUGAGCGAAAGCUUGGGUCACGUGGUCCCUAAAGCAGGGGGCACUGCUAGUUUUUAGAUAAUGAAAAGCUUUUGUUAGAUGCGAUAACAAUAGUAUGGUUUACUAUAACAGUUGCUACUGAAUAGCCCAAAUUA